UCGAGGACGUCAUUCCCUUUCUUGAGC
rnacentral:sRNA from 1 species